CGUAAUUUGAUUUUUAUCUUUGGAACAUGCACGGCAAAAUAACUGAAUGAUCAACACACGGGCCUUGGCCACACACAGACCAGCCAAAAGUUGCAACAAGACUUAACUGAAUUUUCGUCGUUAUACACCUGGAACAGACGUUCAAUAUUCCUGGAAUGGACACUCAGUUAGCUUCAAGCACGUGUGGUAAGGAAGUGAAUCAAUUUUAAUGAAACUAUGUUUCUGUGCACCUCGAUUUGCUAUUCUGUUAUUCCAUCUAAUCUUGCAGUUGUUAAUUUUCUUGGUCAUUCUCUAGUUCUUCAAAAUGUUAUAUGCUGUACUUUUUAUAACAACUUUCAAGAAUAUAAUAUAUUAUUAUAUGGUGUUCCUGUAUUUUUUUUUAUAACAAACCAGUACCUUUAUUUUAUAUUACCCAUAAACAUGAACAAUCUCAAUUGCUGUAGGUAUGGUAUUCAAUGUCAAAUCCUAACUACCGAGCAAAACAUGUCGCUGGCACCUCUUCUCUAAUGUUAACUUACUUAAAUUUCUCAAUUGUUUCAGGUUCCUUAAAAGCUGUUUGGAUGCCCACUUCUUUGAGACGUACACCUUUAACGAUGAAAGAACAUCUGUUAUGUAAAACUUUUUCCAGUAUAUAAUAUUUUUAAAAACC
rnacentral:lncRNA from 1 species